AUCGAAUGGUACCUAUAGUGGUUACAGUAACCCUCACUGCUAUGCUGAAGGGCCCGGGUUCGAUUCCCGGCCAGGAUA
rnacentral:tRNA from 1 species